rnacentral:lncRNA from 1 species
AACGCUGGAUCCCAGUUCAGACUUUUUGGUGGAGGCUACGAUCCAGUUUCUAGCUGGCUGAAUGGUGAUGGAACGACAUGAACUCUGGACCUGAGGAAUACGUGCGGAAGGAAGGAUGAUGGGUUUGUGUGCUUGUAAACCAACCCGUCGGAUGCAUGCACCAGGCAUUUGGAAAUAGAAUGCAACAGAAGAGCCAAGCCCUGGAGUUAAGGUAUGCUACCGAAAAAGAAUGUCCAAAGCCACUUGAUUUGAAAUGUGGAAUAGUUCACUUUGGCUUCUGAAAAAGUGAAAUCAAACUCCUUCCUUAAAAAGCACCCUAUGUGUUACCUGAAACUUCCAAAGACACAUGGAUGCAGAUUCUGCUGUUCGUUGCUGUCGG